AUUGAACGCUGGCGGCAGGCCUAACACAUGCAAGUCGAGCGGAUGAAGGUAGCUUGCUAUCUGAUUCAGCGGCGGACGGGUGAGUAAUGCCUAGGAAUCUGCCUGGUAGUGGGGGACAACGUUUCGAAAGGAACGCUAAUACCGCAUACGUCCUACGGGAGAAAGCAGGGGACCUUCGGGCCUCGCGCUAUCAGAUGAGCCUAGGUCGGAUUAGCUAGUAGGUGAGGUAAUGGCUCACCUAGGCGACGAUCCGUAACUGGUCUGAGAGGAUGAUCAGUCACACUGGAACUGAGACACGGUCCAGACUCCUACGGGAGGCAGCAGUGGGGAAUAUUGGACAAUGGGCGAAAGCCUGAUCCAGCCAUGCCGCGUGUGUGAAGAAGGUCUUCGGAUUGUAAAGCACUUUAAGUUGGGAGGAAGGGCAGUAAGUUAAUACCUUGCUGUUUUGACGUUACCAACAGAAUAAGCACCGGCUAACUUCGUGCCAGCCGCCGCAGUAAAAC
rnacentral:rRNA from 1 species